UGCACAGUGAGACUGUUUUCCUCGAUUUGUUUUUCAAUGCCGGCCAAGCCUGUGUGUUAGUUAUACUAUAGUCACACGUACUUUAUAUUCUAAAUGGUCGUCAUUUAAUAUUUUUAAAUUAACGAAUCGCGUAUAAUGGCCGAGGGCAGUGGUAAUGUUGUAAACAUUACGCCCGGAGAACCACAGGUCAUAGGCCUCAUUGUUGACCAUCUGAAGAGUCGUGGCCUGUUCGACGAAUUCCGCAGAGAUUGUCUAGCUGAUGUCGAUACAAAACCAGCCUAUCAGAAUCUCAGGCAAAAAGUUGAUAACUUUGUGUCCACACACCUGGACAAUCAGGAGUGGAACCCGAACAUUAACAAGAACCAAGUGCGCAAUGGACUGAGGCAGAGUGUCAUCCAGUCAGGCAUGCUUGAGGCUGGAGUGGACAGAAUCAUUACUCAGGUGGUGGAUCCCAAACUUAAUCACAUUUUCAGGCCCCACAUAGAGAACGCCAUUCAUGAUUUCUUGGCUGCCGAGAAGAAGGAGGAGGCAGUGCCAACUCCAAAUGCAGAGCCUGAGAAGCAGGAGCCGCUCCCCACCGCUCCGAGUACACCAUGAGGUCAGGCACCUCUGCAUUUCAGACGCGACACCAAAGAGGGUAGGGAUGUGUACGGCAGACUACUGAUGAUGCUAUAACAUGUUGGAUUUGCAUCUUUUCUGCAGUUGUCAUUUCUGAUAACCCAAAGCAAUAGCCGACGUGUCAUAGACAGUCGAGUCUAUGCAAUUUAUGGAGAAGAGCAACUGAUGUAAAGGUGCACUAAAAUUACCCAGAAAAAAAUUCAAUAGCCUGUAAACUAAUGUUUGAUAUUGUUAAACAGGGUUUUGAUGACUGCCAAAAGAGUUUUGAUAGCCAGUGAAAAAAGCACAGUACAUUUUUAAAGGUUUAUUUUAUUACAGCUUAGAAAGCCUGUGCUAUCAAGCAUUUUUGCAAAUGUUUCUAACUUAAUUUUUUGCUGCUACAUGGAAAAUUGCACUGAACUUUAAUACUGUCCCUCAAUUGAUAAAUAUAAUACAGUAGCCAAAUGGUUAUGCAGUGGCCUUAAAAUGUGAAAGAAUCUGGCCAGCUAUGUGUGUUUUUUUUUUUCUUUCUUUUUCUUUGUUUUUUUCACUCUCUACAUUUCUGACCGACAUCACUGUUUGGGAUUUUGAAGCGUAAAACAGCAAUGGCAUGGGACGUGAUGUAAAUAACACAUACAUAUUUUGGACCAUGUGAUUCUUGUAAAAAUCACAGUUUGCAUUUAAAAUCUAAUCAUUCAGAUCUGUGGUGCAGCUGCCAGCUAACCCAUCCACAGAAAGCUCUAAGCUUGUCAUUUGUAACAUUAGGGGCAUUUGAGGGGCAUUACUGCAUGUCUGACACUCAGUUCUCAGUAUAGACAAUGGAUUCAACUGCUGUAAAGUCUUUUCUAUGACUUUUGUACUUAUGUACAUUUAUUGUGAGGGAAAAAAAAAACUCCUUUGUACUAAAUUUAUUUCAAAGUAAUACAUGUAACGGUAAAUGAAACAGCUUUAUUACUGCAUAUCUGGUACAAUUACCACAUAAAAAAUGUGUACUAGGUUUGGAAAUUUAAAUAAAAGCAUGAGUACACUAGCUUGGAAUACUCGUAAUUCAGGCAGAGUAACUUGAGCAGUGUUGGUUUUCCUUUUGUAUCCAUGAAUGCACAACAGGCUGUACUACAUUACACUAAUCAAAAUGUGUACUAAGAGCAGGCAAUUAACAAAGGGAAAGCCAGUAGGGUAGCAAGGGGGAGAGAUUGCCAUUCUGAACUCUCGAUUUGUGUGGAACCCCCACCCCCCCACCCCCAAAAGAAAUACCCGCCUCUUUAAUUUUGCUGGUUGUAGCCAGCGCAUUCUGCCAGUUGCUUUCAAGUGAUUUGAAUCAGCUGCUGCUAAGGUGGGAUAGAUUAAUACAUACAUGAUGAAAGGGGCAAGGCAUUUGUUUCAUUUCACACAAGCCCCUUUUUUAAACUAUCACCUUGCAAGUUCCAUCCAUCUUUAAACACAUGAGAAAUCCAUCAACCACAAAUGCAAUAUGUUUGUUUCAUUCGCUAUCAAGCCAUGCACAAUAGUUCUUUACCCUACAAAAACAGUUUCUGUAAUGGUGACUGUCUGGGCUGAUGUUACUUUCUGCUAUGACAUAUGGUUAUUGAACAUAAACAGGAUAAAUGGGUGUAUUGAAAAUAAACCCUAACGGUUCUGUUGGUAAGGUGCUCUUAAGGUUUUUAUCGUAUUGCAUUCGUUGCAUUGCUGAAAGUGUUGAUCUGACCAGACUUGCUCAUUUCAUCCACUAUAAAAAUAUAGCCUUCAGCUGUUGGCAAAAGUAACUAUUACUUUUUGCAUUAUAUUCCAUAUUGUUUAAGUGGUACUUUUAGUAACAUACACUGCCACUUCUUCAGGUUAUAUAUUUCCUGUUGCAUUUUCGGUCCAUAUUCACAAGACAGUUUUGAAUAAUGUUUUGUUAAGGGACUGUUUUUAAAAGCCUAUUUUGAUAAAUUAAGUAAAAUAAAUACAAAUUAUUUUGGAGGGUUUAUAUUAGU